AGAGUUUGAUCGUGGCUCAGGAUGAACGCUAGCGGCGCGCCUAAUGCAUGCAAGUCGAGCGAUGAGUUUCUCUUCGGAGGGACAUCAGCGGCAAACGGGUGAGUAACACAUGGAUAACCUACCCCAAAGACGAGGAUAACUGCUGGAAACGGUGGCUAAUACUCGAUGAAUACAGCGAUCUGGGAUGAUGGUUGUAGAAAGCUCCGGUGCUUUGGGAGGGGUCUGUGGCCCAUCAGCUAGUUGGUAGGGUAAUGGCCUACCAAGGCGAUGACGGGUAGGGGGUGUGAGAGCAUGACCCCCCACAAUGGGAUUGAGAGACGGCCCAUACUCCUACGGGAGGCAGCAGCAGGGAAUUUUGCACAAUGGACGGAAGUCUGAUGCAGCGACGCCGCGUGGGUGAAGAAGGCCUUCGGGUCGUAAAACCCUUUUCUGGGGGAAGAGGAAGGACGGUACUCCAGGAAUAAGUGUCGGCUAACUACGUGCCAGCAGCCGCGGUAAUACGUAGGACACGAGCGUUAUCCGGAUUUACUGGGCGUAAAGCGCCUGUAGGCGGUUUCGUAAGUCGGAUGUGAAAGCCCCAGGCUUAACCUGGGGAGGCCAUUCGAUACUGCGGGACUUGAGGAUAGCAGAGGGGAGUGGAAUUCCCGGUGUAGCGGUAAAAUGCGCAGAUAUCGGGAGGAACACCAGUGGCGAAGGCGGCUCCCUGGGCUACUCCUGACGCUGAGAGGCGAAAGCUAGGGGAGCGAACAGGAUUAGAGACCCUGGUAGUCCUAGCCCUAAACGAUGGAUGCUAGGUGGAGGAUCGAUAGGUUUUCUGCCAAAGCUAACGCGUUAAGCAUCCCGCCUGGGG
rnacentral:rRNA from 1 species